rnacentral:rRNA from 1 species
CCCGCACAAGCGGUGGAGCAUGUGGUUUAAUUCGAAGCAACGCGUAAGAACCUUUACCAGGUCUUGACAUCCCGAUGCUAUUUCUAGAGAUAGAAGGUUACUUCGGUACAUCGGUGACAGGUGGUGCAUGGUUGUCGUCAGCUCGUGUCGUGAGAUGUUGGGUUAAGUCCCGCAACGAGCGCAACCCUAUUGUUAGUUGCCAUCAUUCAGUUGGGCACUCUAGCGAGACUGCCGGUAAUAAACCGGAGGAAGGUGGGGAUGACGUCAAAUCAUCAUGCCCCUUAUGACCUGGGCUACACACGUGCUACAAUGGUUGGUACAACGAGUUGCGAGUCGGUGACGGCGAGCUAAUCUCUUAAAGCCAAUCUCAGUUCGGAUUGUAGGCUGCAACUCGCCUACAUGAAGUCGGAAUCGCUAGUAAUCGCGGAUCAGCACGCCGCGGUGAAUACGUUCCCGGGCCUU